AAACCAUGUUGUGGGCAUGAACUGACCAAAUCCUUGAACCUUUCCCAACAUUGGUAAAAUGUUUCAUCCUCCUUUUGGGGUGAAGUUCAUGAUUGCUUUUCUAAGGGU